rnacentral:rRNA from 1 species
GUAACAUGGAUUGCUUGCAAUCUGAUGACGAGUGGCGCACGGGUGCGUAACGCGUAUGCAAUCUACCUUUUACAGGAGAAUAGCCCAGAGAAAUUUGGAAUAAUGCUCCAUAAUAUCAUUUAUCAGCAUUGGUUUAUGAUUAAAGCUCCGGCGGUAAAAGAUGAGCAUGCGUUCUAUUAGCUAGUAGGUGAGGUAACGGCUCACCUAGGCUACGAUAGAUAGGGGCCCUGAGAGGGGGAUCCCCCACACUGGUACUGAGACACGGACCAGACUCCUACGGGAGGCAGCAGUGAGGAAUAUUGGACAAUGGAGGAAACUCUGAUCCAGCCAUGCCGCGUGCAGGAUGACUGCCCUAUGGGUUGUAAACUGCUUUUAUAUAGGAAGAAACACUCCCACGUGUGGGGGCUUGACGGUACUAUAUGAAUAAGGAUCGGCUAACUCCGUGCCAGCAACCGCGGUAAUACGGAGGAUCCAAGCGUUAUCCGGAAUCAUUGGGUUUAAAGGGUCCGCAGGCGGCCUGUUAAGUCAGAGGUGAAAUCCUACAGCUCAACUGUAGAACUGCCUUUGAUACUGAUAGGCUUGAGUUAUUGUGAAGUGGUUAGAAUGUGUGGUGUAGCGGUGAAAUGCUUAGAUAUCACACAGAAUACCCAUUGCGAAGGCAGAUCACUAACAAUAUACUGACGCUCAUGGACGAAAGCGUGGGGAGCGAACGGGAUUAGAUACCCCGGUAGUCCACGCCGUAAACGAUGGAUACUAAACUGUCGACCUUUCGGUUGAGUGGUCAAGCGGA